CUCCCCUGCUUGUCGUGUCGCGCCGCCCCUGCCCGCUGGCAUCUCGUAGCCCCUCCUCGCUGGCCUCGCGCCGCCGCCCAUCAGCCAUGCGCGCCACGCCACCGCCCCAAACCCCCACCACCCACAGACCUCGAGCACCGCCGUGGGCCGUGGAUCUGGGGCGCCGACGCCUGGCUCUGGAUUCCGCCCACCGCCGCCAUGCUCCCUGACUGAAGACGAGCAAGCCCGCAGCCCCUUCACUCACGUAGCCUCCUCCCGAUGGGGAUCCAUCAUCGCGGCGUUCGGCAUCACCACCUCCGGCUGUUCAACGACGGAGCUCCUGGAUGUUCACCACAUCAGCGCCCAAAUCCCAGCCAUCCAGGGAUCUCCGACACAACUCCACCCCUCUCCGCCCCUGCAUCACCUCCUCUACCGGCGUUGAAGCCAUCGUCGACCCUGUGGAACAAAUGCUGGUGCCGCCCCCCAAGAACCCGAGCCGCCGCCCACCACCAUGAUCCUGCACAGCGCGCUAGUGGCUCCUCCUGAACCCAACGCCCUGUACCCCCAUCUCCUCCAUGUCCUGGUCGUCACUCACACACGAGGAUGGUGCUGGUCUGGCUCCAUGCUUCAGACCUGGAGAGGAGGUAGCUGCCUCACACCUAGGACGGCUUCCCAUCAGUCCAACUACACUGCUAGUCCCCGUCCAGGUUUGUACAAUCAUAGGCUGUCCUACUUUUACAUGGAUUUUUCCUAAACAUCAAUAAAGGAUGAGAUUGAGGAGCAUAAAUGGACUACGGUGUAAGCAGCUUAAACUUGUCCUUCUUGCUUUCUUCAUAAUGUUUAUUCUCUGGAAAUGGGAGGAAGGAACAUACUACAAUACUGAAGAUAUCCACCCAGAUUCAUUGGUUGUGUCUCAUCCAGCUAACUCAAAGUUUGUAGAUCAGCAUACAUCUUCAGAUGAAGACUUCCCAAGUGUAGAUUCAUUGCCACAAUCAGGUGUUCAGGUAGGAAGUUACCGGCGCACAACCACCAGUGCCACUUGUCGGUGUUCCUGCUAAUGUGGGAGGUGAACAGGGGGCAUCACCUUCUAAGUCAAAAGGUCACGAAAUUCACAACUUGUCGUCGGGGAUCCUGAAGAAAAUACAUGUGGGUUUGGCAUGUCUCACAUCCUGCAACAACGAGCCUCUGCAAGCACCGAGCCGCCGGUGUUCCAUCCACAAAUCUGAGAGGGAUGUAAAAGCGGCUGUGGCAUCUUGUCAGCUGCCCAUCAAAUGUAAUCCUAUUAUGUUGUCCUUCAGUAGCAGUUCAACAAAAAAACUGCAGCAAUUCUACAUGGGAAACUAUGAUAUUUCAGGUCUGCUACUAUGUACGUGCUUGUUGGUAUGCCAAUGAGUAUAUACAUUUUGUGUUUGUUCUUUUCCCCUUCGGCUUUCUCUGCCAUGGAUGUGUGCAUGCGUGCUAUGUGCGUGAGUAAGCUACAGCAAUUUGUGUAAAAUAAGCAUCUUCAA